CCUCGCUCUCAUUCCUCCCUUCGUUCGGUACCUACCUUCAUCUUGCGUCUCAUUGCGCAACUUUAUCGACUGGCAGUGGAACCCGGGCUAUUGAGUUGGCCCCUGGGAUCCCUCCAUUGAGGUGGGCUACGGGCCAGUGCUUCGCCCCUCCUUGCCCUGGGCCACCCUCAUUCUCCCAGCACACCUGUACCCCUGAAGGCCCAUCGUGGGAACCCGUCCUCGCUGCCUCUGCCACCUGAGCGGCGGACCGCCGUGCCAGCACGGGCACAUCUGACAACACCACCGGGAGUCGAGUCGAU
ensembl:lncRNA